CUACGGGGCGCAGCAGUGGGGAAUAUUGCACAAUGGGCGAAAGCCUGAUGCAGCAACGCCGCGUGAGGGAUGACGGCCUUCGGGUUGUAAACCUCUUUUAGUAGGGAAGAAGCGAGAGUGACGGUACCUGCAGAAAAAGCACCGGCUAACUACGUGCCAGCAGCCGCGGUAAUACGUAGGGUGCAAGCGUUGUCCGGAAUUAUUGGGCGUAAAGAGCUCGUAGGCGGUUUGUCGCGUCUGCUGUGAAAUCCCGAGGCUCAACCUCGGGCUUGCAGUGGGUACGGGCAGACUAGAGUGCGGUAGGGGAGAUUGGAAUUCCUGGUGUAGCGGUGGAAUGCGCAGAUAUCAGGAGGAACACCGAUGGCGAAGGCAGAUCUCUGGGCCGUAACUGACGCUGAGGAGCGAAAGCAUGGGGAGCGAACAGGAUUAGAUACCCCCGUAGUC
rnacentral:rRNA from 1 species